rnacentral:rRNA from 1 species
GGGCCCGCACAAGCGGUGGAGCAUGUGGUUUAAUUCGAUGAUACGCGAGGAACCUUACCAGGGCUUAAAUGUAGUCUGACAGGUCUGGAAACAGAUCCUUCUUCGGACAGAUUACAAGGUGCUGCAUGGUUGUCGUCAGCUCGUGCCGUGAGGUGUCAGGUUAAGUCCUAUAACGAGCGCAACCCCUGUUGUUAGUUGCCAGCGAGUCAUGUCGGGAACUCUAACAAGACUGCCGGUGCAAACCGUGAGGAAGGUGGGGAUGACGUCAAAUCAUCACGGCCCUUACGCCCUGGGCCACACACGUGCUACAAUGGCAGGUACAAUGGGCAGCCACGCCGCAAGGCGGAGCGAAUCCACAAAACCUGUCUCAGUUCGGAUCGGGGUCUGCAACUCGACCCCGUGAAGCUGGAAUCGCUAGUAAUCGGAUAUCAGCCAUGAUCCGGUGAAUACGUUCCCGGGCCUU